CCGCUGAGAAAAUCACAGCUCGCGGCAAAGCUGUGAAAAUCUUUCCUAGGCCUACUGCUGGACCUCUCCUACCAGUUGUUCGUGACAGACAUUGAAGUACGUAUAACAUGAAGGUCAGGGCUCUCCGUGGCUUCACUCUGGAAGAGUUGAAGGGGAACUUGCAGCAACGAUCGGGAUCUCGGUUGAUCAUCGCAGGAAGAACCAUUCUCUCAAGAGGUUUCAAGCCAAUGUUCUUGGCCUGAAGACGUACAAGCAGAAGUUGGUUAAUUGUCUUCCCAAGGCGCAAGUUUAACGCUGGUGAUUCUGCAGCAGAGGAGGUAGCAAAUGCAACCCCGCUCCAACGUCCUCUCUUGGCAAUUCAACAGGGGAAACGAGUCAGUCACUGAGCUUGUGAAGGUCACUGGAGAUAUGAAAAAAGUCAAUGCAUAUGAGUGAUAUGACAAGCUUGGUAUUGAGCGGGUCAGUGUCCGCCAUGUUGGGGCCAGGGCAAGGAAGAAAAGAAGUAGAAUGCUUGUGAACACGUGUUUUGCAAGGAUUAAUUGCUCAUGGCUUGCCAGAUCUUGCAGAUUAGCUUUGACCUAUUUUCUGGGACAUAUUCUGGAUCGAUCAUAUUUAGAUUUUGUAAUUUCAGGUCAGUAUGCGGAGGUUAGAGAUUUAAUGGUUUUUUGUUUUAUUGUUCAAGUUCUUAUUGGUGAUGAACUGCACUCCUUUGUAGUCUCAGCCUG